UUGAUUAUGUGUGCUUGUGUUGAAACAUAUGUCUCUAUUUUUCAAUUCAAUGUCAAAACACAUUAUGCAUAUAAAUACCUUCUAAUUGUUUUGAGUUUUAUUUUUCAUGGGCUGCUGACCACUGAUCAUGGGCUGGACUUGAGUUGGAUCAUGACUUAAAGAUAUAGUACUUAGUCAUGAAGAUGUAGUUGCUGGGCUUGGAAGUUGUUUGCUGAUGGGCCGGAGCUGAGUGGCCCAGAGUUGAUUAUGGCUAUAUAAAUAGACACUACACCAGUUCUACAUGUGGCGAUGGGUGAUAAAGUUCCUUCAAGAACAGAUGCAGGUCUUAUGCUCUCCAUAUUUGCAGCGUGUUCUGCCCACCCACAUUGAAGAGAGAUAUUUAUUUUCACAAAGUUAUUUUUCAUCUUUGAUCCCAAAUUAGGGUUUGUUAUUGUUCGUUCAAGUUUGCUGUAUUAUCUCUCAUUCGUUAGAGAGAUUAUAUUUCUGAGAUUGAUGAUCAUCGGUGGAUGAUCUUCACCGGUAUCUCUGUAUCUUGAAUUGUUUGAGAGGUCUUACUGUUUGUAAGAUCUCAGGUGGGUUCUGGGGGUAAUUUCUUUGGGUUGGAUAAAUAAGAUUUCGUCACAUUUUUCGUCGCUAUUUCUGUGUGUUCCUGUCUUUCUGUUCAUAUCAUAGUUCUUUACAUGGUAUCAGAGCUCUGUGAGCUCUUGAGUCCUGGUUAUUGAGUGUCCGCUGCGAGAUCUAGGGUUAGAUCGGUGUUGUUGAAGACUGGUGGUAGAUCUGUUAUUCUUUCCCUGAAGAACAAAUCAAAUUGAUUCCUUGGAAAGUGUGUUGUUCAAGAUUUGGAUGUCCGCGAAACCCUAGUUAGGGUUUGAUGGUUGCCGUAGAAGAAAUCUCCUCUCAAUCUGCGAUCUAUAGACUUCUUUUCCGAUCUGAAAUUUGUAACCCUAGAAGGUUACAAAUCAGAUCUACUUGGAGGGAAUUAAACGCAUAUGUGAGAUCUUUCUUAUCUCUAUCUCUUUAAAUUGUUGUUCUCGUUGGAUCUUUUGUGUCAUAGGCAUUCUGUUACUGGGGUAGUCGGACCGACAAUUGAUUGAGUAAUUGUGUUUGCAUUUAUAUCUGUCUCUUUCUACAGGUGGUUCUUAUUUGGUUGUUCUUGCAACUGUGUUAUACUUGUCCAGGCACCUAUAGAGUGAUGGUUCUGGAAUCUGACCUCUGACACAGUCUGCUUAGUUGUUGUUGUUUGUUUGCGUUACUAUCGGUUGAGUAUUGUUCUUGGUGUGUGUAGUCAAGAUGGUAAGGUAAACAAGGGAGCUGAUGAUGUUUUCCAGUUGUACGAAGAGGCAUGUGUGCAGCUGCGCAUGAAAUUUGGUUGUUAUUCAGUUUUCUUCAUGAGUUGCAUAUAGCUUUGGUUGGUUACACACAACAGCUGUCUGAUGUGUUUUAAAAGGGUUGCUUCCUCAACCUCAUUAUGUGAAGUGCAAUGAAGCCAGUGAGCAUUGUCUUUUCAGUGUUUACUAUUUUGUUUAGGGGAGUUUUUUUAAGUUGCUAUUGUUAAUCGAAAGGUUUUUAGUUUUCUAUGGUUUUUUGUCAAAGGCUUCAAAUCGUUGGUUAGUUGCUUAAAACAAAAGGAAAAGAGUUUGAAAAGUAAAUAGAGGUUUAUGUGACAGUUUAUUUUUAACUGUAUGUGUUUGGCCAAAUAUGGUUCAUGUGUUUUGCCUAUUAAAUUGAGGGGGGCUGUUGAAACAUAUGUCUCUAUUUUUCAAUUCAAUGUCAAAACACAUUAUGCAUAUAAAUACCUUCUAAUUGUUUUGAGUUUUAUUUUUCAUGGGCUGCUGACCACUGAUCAUGGGCUGGACUUGAGUUGGAUCAUGACUUAAAGAUAUAGUACUUAGUCAUGAAGAUGUAGUUGCUGGGCUUGGAAGUUGUUUGCUGAUGGGCCGGAGCUGAGUGGCCCAGAGUUGAUUAUGGCUAUAUAAAUAGACACUACACCAGUUCUACAUGUGGCGAUGGGUGAUAAAGUUCCUUCAAGAACAGAUGCAGGUCUUAUGCUCUCCAUAUUUGCAGCGUGUUCUGCCCACCCACAUUGAAGAGAGAUAUUUAUUUUCACAAAGUUAUUUUUCAUCUUUGAUCCCAAAUUAGGGUUUGUUAUUGUUCGUUCAAGUUUGCUGUAUUAUCUCUCAUUCGUUAGAGAGAUUAUAUUUCUGAGAUUGAUGAUCAUCGGUGGAUGAUCUUCACCGGUAUCUCUGUAUCUUGAAUUGUUUGAGAGGUCUUACUGUUUGUAAGAUCUCAGGUGGGUUCUGGGGGUAAUUUCUUUGGGUUGGAUAAAUAAGAUUUCGUCACAUUUUUCGUCGCUA